UGAACCAGAAGCCACAACUCCACCUCCUGAACAACAAACUCCACCACCAUCUCAACAACCUCAAACACCUCCUGAUCAACCAGCAAAUCCACCAUCCAAACAACAACAAACACCACCCUCUAAAUAACAACCAACUCCACCACCUGAACAAACAACACCACCACCCUCUGAUACCCCCACCAUACCAUCCUCUAAUACCCCCACCAUACCACCCUCUGAGGACCUUUUC
rnacentral:lncRNA from 1 species